GGGGAAGCAGAGGCCAUCUCUGAGUGGAAGAACCCAAGGAAGGAAAAUCAUUUUCAAUGUUCUUAACACCCAUUGAACCAAAGCAAAUGGAAAUUUCUCAGGACAUUCAAAUUGUAUCCAUUCAAAUUAUAGAAACAGGCUACUCCAUACCAAUCACAGGAUGAUUUAUCACACAUUCACUCAAUAUGGAACAUUUACUAGUGACCAGUUUCCUGUAACAACAGAUUCAUUUGGAAACUGCACACUGCAAAAGGCAAUCUUGUGACUUUCUUCUAGUUUAUCAAAAAUACAAAUCAGUCUGGGAGUCAGGCACAAACAGUGGUACAAAAGCAUGAAGAGAAAUACCUUAUCUAAGAAUGUGCUCGUUUCAUAUUGCAGAACCCCUAUCUAGAUUCUGGUUUUUGGAAGCCUGCUGCUGGUUCUUUUGCUCAGAAAGGUUCCUUCACUACACCUCUCUCCCACUCCCACCUCCCCUUACUAAAAUUCACUGAACGGGAAACACUCAGUAUGGACCUACGUGGAACUAAAAGCCCCAAUUUAAUUGAAUCUCAUGUGUCAGCACAGUGGCUGCUGGUUUAAUCUGCUCAGCCAGCCUCGUGUAUCUAGGGACUUUUUGGAUCAGAAUUUGAGCCGGAAGCGCCCAACACUUCAUCUUUGGGAAUCCAAUAAAAUCUCUGACGUACAACUAGAAGUCCCAUGAACAAGAAUCUCCAGUUCCAGUUAAUGAGAUUCAAGGGCGGGAGCAGCAGGAAGAGCUGGGGCGGGGGCAGGAGACGGGCCACGAACCAGAUGUGUGCUUCUCUUUCCUCACUUGUAAGUGAGGGGGCUGAACUCGCGGAGCUCCGGGGUCCUGCCCAGCAGCCGCUCUAGGACUCCCUCCUCAAGUCCAUCUCUACACAGGCUCGUCAAGCUGGGUCAGACAAAACUUCCUCACCACUUUGUCUCAACAGUUUAAAGUGGUUGUAAAAUACUUCUAUGCUGCAGUCUGAGGUCUCCCUCUCUCCCCUACCCCUCAAAGACCAGGUUUCAUUUCACUGGUGCAGACCACCUGGCCAAACUGGUGGCUGCUGAGGUUUAAAAGUGAAUCACUGGCCUGGUUAAGAUGAUGGCCUUUGAGUAACCUAGACCAGGGCACAUGUGUCUGUUUUUCAUGAACAGUGUUAACCAAAUAGCAAUAGAAUUCUGUUAGUUCUUCUAUAGAUCUACUUUGCAACAUGAGAUUGUUCAAAAAUUACAUGAGAAAAUCACCCAUCACCACUAAGUUAAAGACUUGAGUAUCUGAGACCUCCAGAGCCUCGAACUCCUGCUACAGUCACUGAUCCACAGCACGUCCCUCUCGGCAACGGGCUCCAUGCGAGCGCAGCCCGGUCCGGCAGCAGAUCUGUGUACCGAGACGCUGAUUUUGAAAGAUCUGGCUCUAGUCAUCACUGUCACUGCCAGACUCACUCAACUGCAAGUCAUUUCCUACAAAACAAAAACCACAGAAUCACACCAAAAGUGCGCAAUUUAAAAAUGACUUCCCCACAAUUCUUUGUUUCACCGCCUUGGUUAUCGCCCUAUAGUAAAACAAGCCAAUUCAACUUAAUUAGGGAGGAAAACCGAUUUGGCUCAGUGACAAAACUGACGCAGUCAACGUUUUUAAAGAAAUGCUAUUCUUGAUAUCUGCAAAGCACAGCGAUGCUACGUACUAGGAUAGAACAGGGGGAAGCAGGCCAGACAGCUUUUAAAUGUGUUAAUAAAUAGCAAAAAAGUAUAAAUAACCGAUUCACCAUCUAGAAUCGUUCACAUGAAGUUGCUAAAAUAACACCGAGUUAGGCUUCCCGUCAAGGAAGCCGAAUACUGUUUAUACCAGUAACCUGCUAAUCCAGCAUCCCCUCCUGUUCAGUUACUUUAAACCUCAACUCUCAACUGAAGAGCUUCAAUUACUUUAGCCUCAGAUUUUUGUUUAGUGUGCAGAAUUCAGGUGUUAGGAGUAAAGAAUAGAAGUGCUCAGCGUUUUAAUCCGAUAGAGUAACAGGACCCAGUUGAUAGCACUCAGAUUAUAGCAAAAGUGAACCGCUAUACGACUGGAUUGCUACUCCUAGACCAGCCCUUCUCAGUUUGUGUGGAGGACCCCGGGGUCCUUGAGACCCUUUCAGGAGGGUACUUCCUCUUCUAACUACACACCUGUGUGAGGCCAGAUUUUCUUCAUAUACAUCAACCUAGACAACUUAUGGCAACAGACUGAACCCAGGUUUCCACUAAGCUAGAUCGUAAAGAGAUUUGCGAAAUUUUAAAGCAAUGUUACUCUCUUACUAAGUAUUUUUUGAUUGGAAAAAUUUGUUUUUCAUAAAAAUGAUACUUUUGCUAACAUGUGACAGUUUAUUAUGUUAUUUUAAAUGAAUUACUGGAUAAUUUAAAUAUUUCAGUUUUAAUUUCUAAUGGUAAUAUUGAGUGGAUAUAAGCCACAUACACAAAGCUCUUUGGGGUGCUCAAUAAUUGUUACAAUUAAGAGGUCUGACACCCAAGAAUGGAACAACUACCGUUCUAAACUUAAGGAAGGCAACAGGGGCCUGGCAAGAGCUGGUAACUCCCAAUCAGCUAAGUUGAGCACGAUCUCUUAAAAAGUAAGAUGAUGUGCUUUAACAGAUCAGUGGAACUGGAGCUGGAAACCUAGUUUUGAAAUUGCUUAUAUAAAGUUAAGGUCUUGCCACUUGAAGAGCUGCAGAUCAGGAUGACUUGGUGCGCAAUAAAGAGCUAAAAGGAUUUUAAGGUACUGGUAAGCAGAUAACACCCACUGUGCCUUUUUUUUUUUUUGCUCUUUCUUUCUAGGAGGAAAGAAUAAUUUGGCAUUGACUGGGCAAACUCGAGAACUGAGUCAAAGCCACAGUAGCUAUCUGGCACUAUUCCACUAGGAAUACCAAAUUCCCGGGGCGCCUGGGUGGCGCAGUCGGUUAAGCGUCCGACUUCAGCCAGGUCACGAUCUCGCGGUCCGUGAGUUCGAGCCCCGCGUCGGGCUCUGGGCUGAUGGCUCAGAGCCUGGAGCCUGUUUCCGAUUCUGUGUCUCCCUCUCUCUCUGCCCCUCCCCCGUUCAUGCUCUGUCUCUCUCUGUCCCCCAAAAAAUAAAUAAACGUUGAAAAAAAAAAUUUUUUAAAAAAAGGAAUACCAAAUUCCCAAUAUGAAAUUUACUACUCCUGGCCAACUGAGAAUAGCACCAAAGCAUCCCCUGACAUCCAGAAUGUAGGCCCAGAAAAUGGGAUAGCAGACAAUAUCCUCAACUGAUAUCCUAACAGUGUUCAACUCACUCAAGUAGCGUUUCUCCACCAGGAGUGGUCUUGCCCCCCAGAGGGUAUCUGGCAAUGUCUUGAGAUAUUUGGGGUUGACACAACUGGGGACAAGGGAGAGAGAAGGGCAUCUACCGGGUAGAGGCCAGGAAUGCUCUUAGUCAUCCUGCAAUGCACUGGACAGCCCCCAUGACAAAGAUUUAUCUGCCCCACAAUGUCUGUAGUGGUGAAGUUGAGAAUUACCUUCGCCUGGUCCACUGUAGUAGGGUUAACUAGGUUAGCUUACCAACUAUUGCCUCCAGACCUUCCAACCUCCUCAAAGGCAGUCAUGCCAGAUGAAAGCAUUCAUUAGGAUACUGGAGAGAGAAGGGCAUAGGGAGCAAGCACUCUCCCCAUCUCCAAUACGAAGAAAUCUGUUUUUGUUCUUGUUUUUCUCUCCUUUACUUUAGUAUCAACUGCACGGAGAGCCACCCAGAUAUAGCAAUGUCCUUCCUCUUCCUCUUGCCAAAGGCUAGUUGGUUUCCAAAUAUACACUAAUGGCUCAGGUUCCAAAGUCUAUGGGCUGCAGGACACCAGUCUGGACAACUGUGUUCUUGGGAACUGUAAAAAGACCUAGAAGCAGGGGACACUAUAGUGGAGGGCAUCGCCCCUAAAGCCUGUAAAGCCUGGUAAAUGCAAAAACAAAGAGCCGAGCUGUUCAUGUUUCAGCAUUUUCGAGAAUUCACAAAAACUAAUUUGUGCCAGUGGGUGAAAAAAAAAGAACAGAUUUUCUAGUUUUGUGCUUCCCCAACACCCCCGCCCCUUUUAUUUUUUUUAACUGUUUGGUAACUUCUUCCUGCUCCAAAUUUUGUCAGGAUGCUUUCUUAUGCCUUAAAUAUCUUCUGGUUUACAGACUCGGGUGUAAGAUAUAUAGAAGCUGCAUCUCUAGUCUGACAUGCCACGCCUCUCUGAGCCAGAAAAGGGAGAGCACACUUACUGAGGGUGUUCAUGAGCUGGUUGCUUCCUUGUGGCCGGCUGGUUCCAUUGGCAACGGCCGGCCUGCUGUUGUAGGGCUGCUGGUGUGCAGGCUGUGGAGGAGACGCCGGACCGUUGUCCUCACCCUCGCUGCUGGAGCUGUCAUCAUCGCUUCCCGACGAGCUCUCAGAGUCUGAGGAACUGCUCCCACUGCUGCUGCUCAUCUGCUCAAUAAUGUCAACUUCAGCCCUCAGCUCUGGAAUAAAAUGACACGACAGGGGUUAGCCAGCAACCACUCUCAAGGCCGCAAGCUGCCUUCUGUAAAUAGUGAAUUGGCAAAACCAACAGCAAUGAGGAAUGACUAAAAUUCCUGCUUCUUAUUCCUUAAAAAUGUAUAAACAAAACGACUAAGACCAAA
rnacentral:lncRNA from 1 species